rnacentral:misc_RNA from 1 species
GAUGAAGAACGCAGCGAAAUGCGAUAAGUAAUGUGAAUUGCAGAAUUCAGUGAAUCAUCGAAUCUUUGAACGCACAUUGCGCCCAUUAGUAUUCUAGUGGGCAUGCCUGUUCGAGCGUCAUUUCAACCCUUAAGCCCUCGUUGCUUAGUGUUGGGAGCCUACAGUUUAUUCUGUAGCUCCCCAAAAUCAGUGGCGGAGUCGUUUCACACUCUAGGCGUAGUAAAUUUUAUCUCGCUUCUGUAGUUGGAUCGUCCCUUGCCGUAAAACCCCCCGACCACGGAGCCCCGGCUCCUGAACGUUGACCUCGGAUCAGGUAGGAAUACCCGCUGAACUUAAGCAUAUCAAUAAGCGGAGGA